rnacentral:rRNA from 1 species
UCUGAAUCUGCGUACGGCUCCGCAAACCAGUUGUAAACUAUAGCAAGCAAUCCUGCGGGCGGCUUCGGCUGCUCGUGGGUAACAUGGAUAACCCUGGUAAUUCUGAGGCUAAUACAAGAACGUACUCCCUGGCUGACCGGCAACGGAAGGCUGGGGAGCGUGCAACGUAUCGUAGGGAUAAACCGGGAAUGGGUGCACGCUUGGACCGCGCUAAAGACAGAUCUCGGCGAGCCUUCGGGUGAGCCUUGGCCUGAGCGGCUCUUGCUGUGUGCUUCUGACCUAUCAACUAGACGGCAGCGUAAGGGACAUG